rnacentral:tRNA from 1 species
GGAGAGGUGGCAGAGUGGCCGAUUGCGGCGGUCUUGAAAACCGCUGUGCCGCAAGGUACCGGGGGUUCGAAUCCCUCCCUCUCCGCCA